rnacentral:rRNA from 1 species
CGCCCAGACUCCUACGGGAGGCAGCAGUGGGGAAUAUUGGGCAAUGGAGGAAACUCUUACCCAGCAAUGCCGCGUGAAUGAAGAAGGUCUUCGGAUUGUAAAGUUCUUUAAUUGGGGACGAAAAAAAUGACGGUACCCGAGGAAUAAGCCCCGGCUAACUACGUGCCAGCAGCCGCGGUAAUACGUAGGGGGCGAGCGUUAUCCGGAUUCACUGGGUGUAAAGGGAGCGUAGACGGCCGUGCAAGCCAGGAGUGAAAGCCCGGGGCCCAACCCCGGGACUGCUCUUGGAACUGUGCGGCUAGAGUGCGGGGGGGGCAGGCGGAAUUCCUGGUGUAGCGGUGAAAUGCGUAGAUAUCAGGAGGAACACCGGCGGCGAAGGCGGCCUGCUGGACCGCGACUGACGUUGAGGCUCGAAAGCGUGGGGAGCGAACAGGAUUAGAUACCCUCGUAC